CCCUUAGACGUUCUGGGCCGCACGCGCGCUACACUGACCAGUGCAACAAGCAUCCGUCCUUGGCCGACAGGCCCGGGCAAUCUUUGAACGCUGGUCGUGAUGGGGAUAGACUUUUGCAAUUUUUGGUCUUCAACGAGGAAUUCCUAGUAAACGCAAGUCAUCAACUUGCAUUGAUUACGUCCCUGCCCUUUGUACACACCGCCCGUCGCACCUACCGAUUGAAUGGUCCGGUGAAGCCUCCGGAUUGGCGCGCACCUCGGUGCCGCCGAGAAGUUGGCUAAACCUUACCAUUUAGAGGAAGGUGAANUCGUAACA
rnacentral:rRNA from 1 species